UAUUAUUGUCGAAGUAGAAUGGGGACUACCAGAAGGCAGUAGUCUUUUUAGCCCCGUUAACAUCAAUUUCGAAGAAAAAAGACGCCUUCUUGACAGCUUUGUCAUGCAGCAAAUGGACACAGCUGAAACCUGCUGCGUCCGUAAAAUAUCACCAUCUAGAGCAUUUUAUGCGAUGACCCUGCCAUCGAGGAAGUUCAGAGGUUAUUAUUUAAUUACCGCACUGUUUGAAUAGUAGAACAUUUAGACUAGCAGAGGCAAUCAUAACCACACACUAUCCCAGAAAGACGGCCGAAAGGUUUGCUUUUGAACUGCGUGGCGCAAGACAGUGGAGGACAGGUGUAAGUUUCUCAGGCAGUCAUGGACAGAGCCAAAGCAUUUUACUAGGAGCCGUUGGCAAAGUCGCGUAAAUAUGGUUCAAGAGCUGUACCCCAAAUAGGAAGAUGCCACAACAAAUUAGAAACAUGAAAAAUUAGUUGAUCGGCUCGGAACGUCAACACAGAAUCUGCUUUGAAGAAAAGAAACCCGCAGAAAAUUAUAAAUUCUACAUAACCUAUUUCGGAAAAAUUUACGAACUCUGUGUGGAUUUAUUUGCUAUUAAAAAUUAGAUCAAUUGAAGCUUAAAGAUUUGAUAGCAAUAGGUAUUUUGAAGAUCGGAUUCACUUUAUAUUUCGAAACGAUCUCGAUUGCGGAAAACGCUAGUAAAGCAAGUUGAAAAACUUAAGAUGGUCAAUACAGCGAUUCAAUAAAGAGCAGAUUGUUGCUGAUGCUCACUCUAAUAUUCCAGCAUUUAUCAGAAGCACGUUCGUUAUAGCCGAAGCUCGUUAUAUCCAAAUAUGUAUUCAAAAUAGAGCCAAAAAAACCAA
rnacentral:lncRNA from 1 species